rnacentral:rRNA from 1 species
UACGGAGGGUGCAAGCGUUAUCCGGAUUCACUGGGUUUAAAGGGUGCGUAGGCGGGCAGGUAAGUCCGUGGUGAAAUCUCUGAGCUUAACUCAGAAACUGCCAUGGAUACUAUUUGUCUUGAAUAUUGUGGAGGUCAGCGGAAUAUGUCAUGUAGCGGUGAAAUGCUUAGAUAUGACAUAGAACACCAAUUGCGAAGGCAGCUGGCUACACAGUUAUUGACGCUGGGGCACGAAAGCGUGGGGAUCAAACAGG